rnacentral:rRNA from 1 species
GUGGGGAAUAUUGCGCAAUGGGCGAAAGCCUGACGCAGCAACGCCGCGUGGGUGAGGAAGGCCUUCGGGUUGUAAAGCCCUGUCAGGUGGAACGAAUCCACCUCGAGCGAAUACCUCGAGAGAUUGACGGUACCACCAAAGGAAGCCCCGGCAAACUACGUGCCAGCAGCCGCGGUAAUACGUAGGGGGCGAGCGUUGUUCGGAAUUACUGGGCGUAAAGAGCGCGUAGGCGGUCAGGUAAGUCAAGCGUGAAAUCCCUCGGCUCAACUGAGGUUUGGCGCUUGAAACUAUCUAACUUGAGUUUAGGAGAGGAGAGUGGAAUUCCCAGUGUAGCGGUGAAAUGCGUAGAUAUUGGGAGGAACACCUGUGGCGAAGGCGGCUCUCUGGACUAAUACUGACGCUGAGGUGCGAAAGCUAGGGGAGCAAACGGGAUUAGAAACCCUAGUAGUCC